ensembl:rRNA 5S_rRNA 5S ribosomal RNA
GGCCACAGCCAUAUCACUCUGCAGCUCAAGACCGGUUACUCACUGAAGCUAAGCGGGGCUGAGCCUGGUCAGUAUUAGAAUGGGAGAACACAUGGGAAAACCAGGUUGCUGUUGGAA